GGGCGAUUAGCUCAGAUGGAAGAGCGUCCCGUUCACAUCGGGAAGGUCAGUGGUUCAAGUCCACUAUCGCCCA
rnacentral:tRNA from 1 species